rnacentral:rRNA from 1 species
AGAUUGAACGCUGGCGGCAUGCUUUACACAUGCAAGUCGAACGGUAACAGGCCGCAAGGUGCUGACGAGUGGCGAACGGGUGAGUAAUGCAUCGGAACGUGCCCAGUCGUGGGGGAUAACGCAGCGAAAGCUGUGCUAAUACCGCAUACGAUCUAUGGAUGAAAGGCGGGGGACCGAAAGGCCUCGCGCGAUUGGAGCGGCCGAUGUCAGAUUAGCUAGUUGGUGGGGUAAAGCCCACCGAAGGCGACGAUCUGUAGCUGGUCUGAGAGGACGACCAGUCACACUGGAACUGAGACACGGUCCAGACCUCCGUACGGGAGGCAGCGAGUGGGGGAAUUUUGGAACUAAGUGGGCCGCGAAGCC